UGGUCCUCAAGAAUGGUUUGGUAGUCCUUGGCAGUGACGCGCACAUCUAGCACAAGUAUUGGACCAAGGGAAUGCUUUGACCAGAUUCCAGGAAGGUUGGAGACAUAGAAUAAGAGUAGACUAUGUUCUCUGCCUUUAUUGUCCAUGCUGUCGCCUGUAGCUGUAGCCGUAAGGUCUGCAGUGCCUGUAAUGGUGGUUAUCCCCGAACCCAGUGGUGGACACUGGCAGUAAGGGAUGGCAUCAAGCUGAAGAAAGGAAUCUGCUGUGGUUAGCUCGUGGGACACCUGAGGCAUUUGAUGAGUACUGUGAGGCCAAGCGUGCCACGGCCCAGGUGGUAGGAGUGGCAAAAACACCAGCAUUCAGUGAGUCCAUGGAGAAGGACUACCAGUCGGCAGACCUAGCGCCUAAGGGUGGACCAGCACUAAGAUGGACCUUGUUGCAGGUGCAUGUUGGACUCCGGCAGGGUUCCUGUUUGUCACCAGUCCUGUUCAUAAGUUUCAUGGACAGGAUUUCUAGGCACAACCAAGGACCGGAGGGGCUCUGGUUUAGGGACAAGUGGAUUUUGUUUCUUCUUUUGCAGAUGACAUGGUCCUGCUAGCUCCCUCUGGCCAAGACCUACACCACCGGGGUUCCCGUCCUCUGGUGGGCCUUUGGAUGUCUGUGGCUCAGAUCUCCUCUAUGUCUGUCUCGGGUCCAUGGGGGCAGGUCUGUGGCUCCUUACACCAGCUUUUGCAUAUUUUUAUAAACCCACAGGUGUUUGCAUUUAGGGAGGCCAUUUAGCAAAAUAAGCCUUUGACUAAGCAUUUUGUAAAUUCAAACCCUGUAGUAAAACUUUAUGUAACACUAAGCUCUGUCAGGAUCUGGAGUCAUCUGCUGCCUGCUGCUAACACCUUUCCAAUACUAGGUGCCGCCAGUAGGAGAGUCCUGAGGCGACAGGUGUUGCGCUUCCAUUCAUCAGCUGGGAAGCAUAAAGAGGAUGGUUGCCAACACUUCGUCGCCUGAGUGUUUUGCCUCCGUGGUGCGAUUUCUGCCUGACCUGUCCCAGUCCUCCGUUGUGGUACUGACUACUUCCUGGAAUUGGACUGAACCUGGCAAGCGGGACUUCUUUCCUGACACUUAUCCUCUCCUUGGCGGUUUCCCCGGAUUCUCUAUGACGGGAGAUUAGAUUCGCCGCUUUUGUUGUGCUUGAC